CUUGUGGACUGUUAUAUCAAAUGAGAGUAGUUUUUAUGCUGUGAGUGUAAAGGGCGAAAUCAGGCAGGUUGAAGCAAGAA
rnacentral:ncRNA from 1 species